UUUUCUUCUCCAUAAGUGGCUUUGACUCUGAAGACCACACCAUCUCGUAAACUAUGGCCAGGAGCUUUUGGCAAGGGUCGUAAAAUCUUUGGUUCCUCCUGAUUCAGGGAAUGCAGUUCUGCUUUACUAUAAGUUCUCCUCAGCUCCAGGACGGGGUCUUCUAUUGCUAAAGAAGAUCCAGUAUUCAGGCCAUUGUUGGUGGUAAGCUGCUUUUCUUCAUUGGAACAAUAGAUGGCUGAACCAGAAUUCUGACUGCUCGAAGAGGACUGAGAUUUUGAAUCUGUGCCUCUGGGACUGAGCAGG
rnacentral:misc_RNA from 1 species